rnacentral:rRNA from 1 species
UACGGAAGGCAGCAGUGGGGAAUAUUGCACAAUGGGCGAAAGCCUGAUGCAGCUAUGCCGCGUGUAUGAAGAAGGCCUUAGGGUUGUAAAGUACUUUCAUCGGGGAGGAAAAAACAAAACUAAUAAUUUUAUUUCUUGACGUUACCCGAAAAAGAAGCACCGGCUAACUCCGUGCCAGCAGCCGCGGUAAUACGGAGGGUGCUAGCGUUAAUCAGAAUUACUGGGCGUAAAGAGCACGUAGGUGGUUUUUUUAAGUCAGAUGUGAAAUCCCUGGGCUUAACCUGGAACUGCAUUUUGAAACUGAAAUACUAGAGUAUCGUAGAGGGAGGUAGAAUUCUAGGUGUAGCGGUGAAAUGCGUAGAUAUCUGGAGGAAUACCUGUGGCGAAAGCGGCCUCCUAAACGAAUACUGACACUGAGUGCGAAAGCGUGGGGAGCAAACGAGGAUUAGAUACC